UAGAUCCUAGAAAAAUUUGUCUAAGAAAGGAGCUAGAAGCGAAAUAAGUGAAGGAAGGCAUGUGCCACAUCUGAAACUUUGUCUAUGUUUGCCAGAUCAUAUUAUCUAGGCCAGUGAUAAUAUGAUCUGGCGCACUGGCCGAAAAUUUGGGCCGGUCGCAUCCUGUGCGUCCGCUUCGCUUACUGCCAACCGUCAGAUCGAAAGCUCUUUGCCCCCCGCAUCUCGCAUCUGAACACACAUGGGAGAAAAAAAAGAAAAAAAGGAGAGGAUGCAGCCCAGAUCGCCGAAAUCCAUUGCCUCGCUGUCCCCGCCCGCGCAGCCGCCGGAGUCCCGCGUCUCCGGCGGCCCCUCCACGGCCACCGCCAUCAUCGUCGACUGCAGCUCCCCGCUUCUCUUCGCAACUUGAAGUAGAAGUCGUUGUGCGCCCUCCUCAUCUCGUCGUCGUUCCAACACCGCGUCUUGCCAGAUGCAACUCUGAACAAAAGUCGGUCCAUCAAAUUACGCAGCCCAUCAUAGCACGGCGACGCCAUCUUCGGCUCGCCACCGUCGUUGACCUGCACCACCUAAUUUCAGCGAAAACCAAAACUCAGCUCAAAAAUAUAGUUGAAACAAAAUCAAAAAACGGUUCCAGCAAAAAGUAACUUAGGUUCCAGCAAAACAACCCCAGUGCUAGAAAAUUAGGUAAACUAAUUGAAGCAAAAAUUUACCACUGUUCCAGCAAAAUCAAACUCUGGUUCAGCAAAACCAAAACUGAGCAAGUAGGAAUCAUGGUUCUUGCAAAACCAAAACUGAGCAAGUAGGAAAUUUAGAUAAAAACAUGUUUGAAACAAAAAUUUACCUGUUUCCAGUAAAAAAAAAACACCUCCGGUUCCAGCAAAAAUAAUCGCAUCUCAACGUCCAACCUUGUAGCUCCACCAAAAGCCGGUUGCAACUCCGUUGUCGAGGGGCGCAGCUGAUUGCAGCCGCCCUCGCCGCUGUAUGCAGCUCUUAUGCUCCGCGUUGCAGUCGCCGCCGCCCGGCGUCGAUGGAUGCAGCUCGACCAAAUAGAUGGUUGCAGCUCCGCCAAUCGCCGAUUGAAGCUCUGUGGCCCCUAAUUUGUUGCUAGGUGUGGCGCCUCGAGCUGGAAAUAAAGCAUGGCAGCUCGGCCAUGGCCAUGGCGUUGGAUGCUUUGAGGUGAAUGCAUUUUUGGGAGGAGGGAGAAGGCACUGGAAGCGGUGGGGAUAAGGAAAGAGGAUAAAGUAGCGAAGCGAUGUGGCUCGGCUCGGCUCGAUAGGUCAAGGACGCGUGGCCCGCGUGGACCCGCCUGCUCG
rnacentral:lncRNA from 1 species